AAUUUCAAUCAUAUUAUGAUUUAUAAACAGGGUUACUUAGUUAAGCGUGCUUGGGCAAGAGUAGUACUAAGUUGGGUGACCACUUAGAAAUUCCUCGGGUUGCACCCC
rnacentral:rRNA from 1 species